CACUCCUGCGGGAGGCAGCAGUGGGGAAUCUUGCGCAAUGGGCGAAAGCCUGACGCAGCCAUGCCGCGUGAAUGAUGAAGGUCUUAGGAUUGUAAAAUUCUUUCACCGGGGACGAUAAUGACGGUACCCGGAGAAGAAGCCCCGGCUAACUUCGUGCCAGCAGCCGCGGUAAUACGAAGGGGGCUAGCGUUGCUCGGAAUUACUGGGCGUAAAGGGAGCGUAGGCGGACAUUUAAGUCAGGGGUGAAAUCCCGGGGCUCAACCUCGGAAUUGCCUUUGAUACUGGGUGUCUUGAGUAUGAGAGAGGUGUGUGGAACUCCGAGUGUAGAGGUGAAAUUCGUAGAUAUUCGGAAGAACACCAGUGGCGAAGGCGACACACUGGCUCAUUACUGACGCUGAGGCUCGAAAGCGUGGGGAGCAAACAGGAUUAGAUACCCGAGUAGUCCCAUGAU
rnacentral:rRNA from 1 species